rnacentral:lncRNA from 1 species
GCUGCCCUCAGGCUAGAAGUUGUGGAACUAAGACAUUCAGAUUAUGAGAGCAAGAUGGCAGACUGGAAAGCCCUACUGCUUGUCUUGUGCACAAAAACAACUAAAACAAUGAAUAAGCAAUUACUUUUUGAUGAAAAUAAUGGAAGGAGAGCACCAGAGUACAUCAAAGGAGUGACAGAAACCCUGGUGAGAGCACAGAAACUCAGAACGGAGAAUGGAAGGACACACCCAGCCUUCAGCACCCAUGCCCCAUCUGGGAUCAUCUGGGACCCAGAAGUAUCUUCUCCCUGCAGGGAAAAAGUAAGCAAGAGGAUCCCAGCAAACCCCGUCAACACCCUGAAUGUUAUAUUAGUUUGUUCUUGCAUUACUAUAAAGAAAUACCUGAGACUGGGUCAUUUAUAAGAAAAGAGAUUUAAUUAGCUCAUGGUUCUGCAGGCUACACAAGCAUGGUGCCAGCAUCUGCUCAACUUCUGGGAAGGCCUCAGGGAGCUUUUAGUCAUGGCCGAAGGUGAAGCUGGAGCUUGUAUGUCACAUGGCGAAAGAAGGAGCAAGAGAGAGGUGGGGGGAGGUGCCAUGCUUUUUAACAACCAGAUCGUGUGAGAACUCACUAUCAUGAGGACAGCACCAAGCCAUGAGGGAUCUGUCCUCAUGACUCAAACACCUCCCACAAGGCCCCACCUCCAACAUCAGGGCUUACAUUUCCACAUGAGAUUUGGGCAGGGACAACAUCCAAACUGUAUCAGAUAUCUAUAGCUCUCACCACUACGGGCACUAAGCUCAGCUGAGGGAGCUGCCUGGAGUCCACACAGCUGUGCUCCUCCCAGAGAAGGAGCCAACACUGCCCAUCCCCUUGCACAGACAUCAAUCAAGGGACAUAGAAACUUGAAAAGGCAAGGAAAUAUGACAUCACCAAAGGAAUAUAAUAACUCUCCAGUAACAAACCCCAAUUAAAAGGAAAUCAAUGCAUUUCCAGAAAAAAAAUUCAAAAUAAUGAUCUUAAG